UACGUAGGGACCGAGCGUUGUCCGGAUUCAUUGGGCGUAAAGAGCUCGUAGGCGGCCACUCAAGUCGAAUGUGAAACCUCGAGGCUUAACCUCGAGCCUGCAUUCGAUACUGGGCGGCUAGAGUCGUGGUAGGGGGGAUCUGGAAUUCCUGGCGGUAGCGGUGGAAUGCGCAGAUAUCAGGAGGAACACCGGUGGCGAAGGCGGGAUCCUGGGCCAGUACUGACGCUGAGGAGCGAAAGCGUGGGGAGCAAACAGG
rnacentral:rRNA from 1 species